rnacentral:rRNA from 1 species
UAGGAAUCUGCCUAUUAGUGGGGGACAACAUUUCGAAAGGAAUGCUAAUACCGCAUACGUCCUACGGGAGAAAGCAGGGGAUCUUCGGACCUUGCGCUAAUAGAUGAGCCUAAGUCGGAUUAGCUAGUCGGUGGGGUAAAGGCCUACCAAGGCGACGAUCUGUAGCGGGUCUGAGAGGAUGAUCCGCCACACUGGGACUGAGACACGGCCCAGACUCCUACGGGAGGCAGCAGUGGGGAAUAUUGGACAAUGGGCGGAAGCCUGAUCCAGCCAUGCCGCGUGUGUGAAGAAGGCCUUAUGGUUGUAAAGCACUUUAAGCGAGGAGGAGGCUACUUUAGUUAAUACCUAGAGAUAGUGGACGUUACUCGCAGAAUAAGCACCGGCUAACUCUGUGCCAGCAGCCGCGGUAAUACAGAGGGUGCAAGCGUUAAUCGGAUUUACUGGGCGUAAAGCGCGCGUAGGCGGCUAAUUAAGUCAAAUGUGAAAUCCCCGAGCUUAACUUGGGAAUUGCAUUCGAUACUGGUUAGCUAGAGUGUGGGAGAGGAUGGUAGAAUUCCAGGUGUAGCGGUGAAAUGCGUAGAGAUCUGGAGGAAUACCGAUGGCGAAGGCAGCCAUCUGGCCUAACACUGACGCUGAGGUGCGAAAGCAUGGGGAGCAAACAGGAUUAGAUACCCUGGUAGUCCAUGCCGUAAACGAUGUCUACUAGCCGUUGGGGCCUUUGAGGCUUUAGUGGCGCAGCUAACGCGAUAAGUAGACCGCCUGGGGAGUACGGUCGCAAGACUAAAACUCAAAUGAAUUGACGGGGGCCCGCACAAGCGGUGGAGCAUGUGGUUUAAUUCGAUGCAACGCGAAGAACCUUACCUGGCCUUGACAUAGUAAGAACUUUCCAGAGAUGGAUUGGUGCCUUCGGGAACUUACAU